AUAGCUCAGUUGGUAGAGCAUCGGACUUUUAAUCUGAGGGUCCAGGGUUCAUGUUCCUGU
rnacentral:tRNA from 1 species